AUGGGGUGGUGCUCACCGGAAGCCACGGAAGAAGUUGAUGCGCACGACGAGGGACAUGUAGAGGAAGAGCGCCAUGAAGAAGAAGGUGCGCGCGACGGCGUCGAAGCUGCCGUAGAUGGCCGCCCAGGCGAGGCUGGCGGCGGACGGCGUGGCGAUGAACAUGGAGUAGACCGGGUGCAGCUCCAUGGGCAGCGCCUCGUUGGUGGGCAGCCGCUGGUAGAGCGUGACGAAGACGACGAUGUAGUGGGACACCCCGAUGGCCCACAGGAACUUGCCGGCCUCCUCCCACCCGACCCUCGCCGCCAGGAUGGCGCCCACGAAGUUGCCCACCACGGACAGGUGCGACGACGGGUUGGCCACCUUGCACAGCCUCCGCUUGCCGCCCGACAGCCACUGCCCGUAGAUCUUGAGCUCCAGCGCGAACAGCGGCGCCACGAACGCGCACCACACGGCCGGGUGCAGCCUCGCCGGCGCGAAGGCGCGGGGGAGGCCGAUGGCGAGGAACAUGGCGGCGAUGGACGGCGUGAAGAAGAAGUUGACGCGCACCGGGUGGAAGAACUCGCGCCGGAUGGCCUCGAAGUAGAAGACGCACUUGAGCGCGUAGGUGACGGACGUGGCCACCAGCACCGCCGUCGCCAGCAGCCACACGGCGACGUUGAUCAUGGGCGUCACCCGGAGGAACCCCAUCGCCGGGCUCGCCGCCAGCGCGCCCCACAGGAUGGCCUGGCUGCCGAGCCCCAGGCAGACCCCGAAGCAGCCGAUCGGGAACCGCAGCAGGAACGGCCACACCUCGUCCUUGGGCAGCAGGAUGUCCUCGUAGUCCUACGUGCAAACAGUUCGGUCGGCAUGAUUUUUUCAGCGACCGGCAAGGACAAAUGGAUGGAUGGAUGA
rnacentral:rRNA from 1 species